rnacentral:rRNA from 1 species
CCUACGGGAGACUGCAGUGAGGAAUAUUGGUCAAUGGGCGCGAGCCUGAACCAGCCAAGUAGCGUGAAGGAUGACUGCCCUACGGGUUGUAAACUUCUUUUAUAAAGGAAUAAAGUGAGGCACGUGUUCCUUUUUGUAUGGACUUUAUGAAUAAGGAUCGGCUAACUCCGUGCCAGCAGCAGCGGUAAUACGGAGGAUCCGAGCGUUAUCCGGAUUUAUUGGGUUUAAAGGGAGCGUAGAUGGGUUGUUAAGUCAGUUGUGAAAGUUUGCGUUUCAACCGUAAAAUUGCAAUUGAUACUGGCAGCCUUGAGUACAGUUGAGGUAGGCGGAAUUCGUGGUGUAGCGGUGAAAUGCUUAGAUAUCACGAAGAACUCCGAUUGCGAAGGCAGCCUACUAGACUGCCACUGACAUUGAUGCUCGAAAGUGUGGGUAUCAAACAGGAUUAGAUACCCGAGUAGUC